rnacentral:rRNA from 1 species
UACAGAGGGGGCUAGCGUUAUUCGGAAUUAUUGGGCGUAAAGGGCGCGUAGGCGGCCAUGCGUGUCUUCCGUGAAAUCCCUCGGCUUAACUGAGGACGUGCGGAAGAAACUGCAAGGCUCGAGUCCGGGAGAGGGGGGUGGAAUUCCCAGUGUAGCGGUGAAAUGCGUAGAUAUUGGGAGGAACACCGGUGGCGAAGGCGGCAUCCUGGACCAACACUGACGCUGAGUGAGCGAAAGCCAGGGGAGCAAACGGG